rnacentral:rRNA from 1 species
ACGCUCGACACCUACGGGAGGAGCAGUGGGGAAUAUUGCACAAUGGGGGAAACCCUGAUGCAGCGACGCCGCGUGGAGGAAGAAGGUCUUCGGAUUGUAAACUCCUGUUGUUGGGGAAAAAGAGGAUGGUACCCAACAAGGAAGUGACGGCUAACUACGUGCCGNNCGCGGAGUAUNGNGGCGGNGNGAGAG